GACGAACGCUGGCGGCGUGCUUAACACAUGCAAGUCGAACGAAGUGGCGAACGGGUGAGUAAUACGUGAGUAACCUGCCCUCCUUUUUGGGGUAAGCCUUGGAAACGGGGUCUAAUACCGAAUAAAGGGGGAUGGGCUGGCGGCCUAUCAGGUUGUGGGUGGGGUGAUGGCGUAACAAGGCGGUGACGGGUAGCCGGCCUGGGAGGGUGACCGGCGAAAUUGGGACUGGGCCAGUGCCCAGACUGCGACGGGAGGGGGGAGUGGGGGAUAUUGGACAAUGGCCGAAAGCCGGCUUCAGCGAUGCGGGGUGGGGGAUGACGGCUUUUGGGUUGUAAACCUUUUGCGCUAUCGAAAGGGUAGGUGCAGAAGAAGCGCCGGCUAACUACGUGCCAGCAGCCGCGGUAAUUC
rnacentral:rRNA from 1 species